GAAACGAGUCUGGACUGUCUCGUAAACGUUAACUCGUCAACAAGUGUUUGGGCAGUGGGAGCUUGGGAUCAUUCAAGAAGUUUGUGCUGCAGUUGCUUUCAGUAAAGCAAGAUUCGUAUAGAAAAGCGAAAUAGUUCAUGAAUAAUUUUACGAAAAGAAGCUGCAAAAUGAUUCUAUGACACACUUUGACAUGAGUAUCUGAAAUUCCAGUGAACCAGUCAGUUCACCAGCAACAGCUUCUAGUCCUGGCAAAAAGCCAGAAAACAAUGUAAGAAGAAACAUCAACAAUUUAUCAUUUCAGGAGAUCACAACAGAUCUAUGCAUCACACAUGGUAAUCAAGAGUUUGCAGUCAGCAUACUCAGUACUCUUCUUUCUAAAGACGAAAUGAAAUCCUGGAAGAUGUCUUGGGGCUGUUAUCACUUUGUCCAACAGCAUCCUGGAAGAACUGCUACUUUGCAUCACCACAAUUUAAAA